rnacentral:rRNA from 1 species
UACGUAGGAUGCAAGCGUUGUCCGGAUUUAUUGGUUUUAAAGGGGGCGUAGGCGGCCUAUUAAGUUAGUGGUAAAAACGUUCGGCUUAACCGGAUACCCGCCAUUGAUACUGAUAGACUUGAGUGCGACAGAGGGUGUUGGAAUGUGUGGUGUAGCGGUGAAAUGCUUAGAUAUCACGCAGAACACCAAUUGCGAAGGCAGAUGCCUAUGUCGUAACUGACGAUGAGGCACGAAAGCGUGGGGAGCAAACAGG